UCGAACGGUGAAGCCCAGCUUGCUGGGUGGAUCAGUGGCGAACGGGUGAGUAACACGUGAGCAAUCUGCCCCUGACUCUGGGAUAAGCGCUGGAAACGGCGUCUAAUACUGGAUACGAGCUUCCACCGCAUGGUGAGUUGUUGGAAAGAUUUUUCGGUCAGGGAUGAGCUCGCGGCCUAUCAGCUUGUUGGUGAGGUAAUGGCUCACCAAGGCGUCGACGGGUAGCCGGCCUGAGAGGGUGACCGGCCACACUGGGACUGAGACACGGCCCAGACUCCUACGGGAGGCAGCAGUGGGGAAUAUUGCACAAUGGGCGCAAGCCUGAUGCAGCAACGCCGCGUGAGGGACGACGGCCUUCGGGUUGUAAACCUCUUUUAGCAGGGAAGAAGCGAAAGUGACGGUACCUGCAGAAAAAGCGCCGGCUAACUACGUGCCAGCAGCCGCGGUAAUACGUAGGGCGCAAGCGUUAUCCGGAAUUAUUGGGCGUAAAGAGCUCGUAGGCGGUUUGUCGCGUCUGCUGUGAAAUCCCGAGGCUCAACCUCGGGUCUGCAGUGGGUACGGGCAGACUAGAGUGCGGUAGGGGAGAUUGGAAUUCCUGGUGUAGCGGUGGAAUGCGCAGAUAUCAGGAGGAACACCGAUGGCGAAGGCAGAUCUCUGGGCCGUAACUGACGCUGAGGAGCGAAAGGGUGGGGAGCAAACAGGCUUAGAUACCCUGGUAGUCCACCCCGUAAACGUUGGGAACUAGUUGUGGGGUCCAUUCCACGGAUUCCGUGACGCAGCUAACGCAUUAAGUUCCCCGCCUGGGGAGUACGGCCGCAAGGCUAAAACUCAAAGGAAUUGACGGGGACCCGCACAAGCGGCGGAGCAUGCGGAUUAAUUCGAUGCAACGCGAAGAACCUUACCAAGGCUUGACAUAUACGAGAACGGGCCAGAAAUGGUCAACUCUUUGGACACUCGUAAACAGGUGGUGCAUGGUUGUCGUCAGCUCGUGUCGUGAGAUGUUGGGUUAAGUCCCGCAACGAGCGCAACCCUCGUUCUAUGUUGCCAGCACGUAAUGGUGGGAACUCAUGGGAUACUGCCGGGGUCAACUCGGAGGAAGGUGGGGAUGACGUCAAAUCAUCAUGCCCCUUAUGUCUUGGGCUUCACGCAUGCUACAAUGGCCGGUACAAAGGGCUGCAAUACCGUAAGGUGGAGCGAAUCCCAAAAAGCCGGUCCCAGUUCGGAUUGAGGUCUGCAACUCGACCUCAUGAAGUCGGAGUCGCUAGUAAUCGCAGAUCAGCAACGCUGCGGUGAAUACGUUCCCGGGUCUUGUACACACCGCCCGUCAAGUCAUGAAAGUCGGUAACACCUGAAGCCGGUGGCCCAACCCUUGUGGA
rnacentral:rRNA from 1 species